CAAUAGCGUAUAUUAACGUUGUUGCAGUUAAAAAGCUCGUAGUUGGAUUUCUGGAGGGAGCGGCGGCCCGUAUUUACGAGUGCGUGACGUCUCUGUCCAUCCUUGCGGGAAGGCACGGCAUUGAUUUGUUGUGUCGGAUCGCAUCAUUUACUGUGAAAAAAUUAGAGUGUUCAAAGCAGGCUUUCGCUUGAAUACAUUAGCAUGGAAUAAUAAGAUAGGACUUUGGUGCUAUUUUGUUGGUUGAGCCUAAAGUAAUGAUUAAUAGGGAUAGUUGGGGGCACCUGUAUUGCGUUGUCAGAGGUGAAAUUCUUGGAUUUACGCAAGACAAACAGCUGCGAAAGCGUCUGCCAAGGAUGUUUUCAUUAA
rnacentral:rRNA from 1 species